ACAAAGGUUGACUUACAUGAUUCACAAUACUCGUCUACUAAGCCUACUACUAAUCGCCUUUAAUGUGCGCGGUAUGCUGGUAGAUUGAAUUAAGAGUUAAUCUUUACCAGAGAUAAAAACCCGCGCCUGACGCGGGUUUUUUU
rnacentral:sRNA from 1 species